GACCCGCUACCCGCCCUUUGUCAUAUGUUGGACGAGGUCGUCUUUAGGGGCGGCCUCCGACCCCACUUCCCGGGAGGCGUUGCGCCCCAUCAAAGUCUAGGCCUUGAUGAGGAUGGGACCGCCCGGGGUCUUUUUUCAAACCCUUUGUGAGAAAUCUGAAGUCUGAAGCGAAAGCUUAAAAACAAAUUGAAGCAAAACUUUCAACAACGGAUCUCUUGGCUCUGGCAACGAUGAAGAACGCAGCGAAACGCGAAAGGUAAUGCGAAUUGCAGAAUCAGUGAGUCAUCGAAUCUUUGAACGCACAUUGCGCCCUCUGGUAUUCCGGAGGGCACGCCUGUUCGAGCGCCAUUACACCCUCCAAGCUCUGCUUGAUGUUGGACGCUGUGUUUUCUCUUUUUAGGGGAGAAGACACACGUCUGGAACUUGUAGGCGUCCGUCACUGUCGAGACACCGCGAGCGUAGCAAGACUUUUAGUCAUUUUCGCUCUGUUGGAACUCCAGCGGACUGCCCUUAUGAUUUUAGGGGGGUUAACCCUCUAAAUUCAAUCUCAAGAGUUUGGCCUCGGAUCAGGCGGGGAUACCCGCUGAACUUAAGCAUAUCAAUAAGCGGAGGAAAAGAAACCAACAGGGAUUGCCCCAGUAACGGCGAGUGAAGCGGCAACAGCUCAAAUUUGAAAUCUGGCGUCUUAGGCGUCCGAGUUGUAAUUUGCAGAGGGAGUCUCGGAUUUAGGAUCGGCCCAAGUGCCUUGGAACAGGAUACCAAAGAGGGUGAGAGUCCCGUAUCCGGCUGAUACCGACGUCCGUGUGAGACCCCUUCGACGAGUCGAGUUGUUUGGGAAUGCAGCUCUAAAUGGGUGGUAAAU
rnacentral:rRNA from 1 species